rnacentral:tRNA from 1 species
GGAGAGGUGGCUGAGUGGUUGAAAGCGGCGGUCUUGAAAACCGUUGUAGUCUCUGGCUACCGGGGGUUCGAAUCCCUCCCUCUCCG